CGCACAGUAAACGAUGAAUACCAGCUGUUGGCGAUAGACAGUCAGCGGCGUAAGCGAAAGCGUUAAGUAUUCCACCUGGGGAGUACGCCGGCAACGGUGAAACUCAAAGGAAUUGACGGGGGCCCGCACAAGCGGAGGAACAUGUGGUUUAAUUCGAUGAUACGCGAGGAACCUUACCCGGGCUUGAACUGCCAGUGAACGAUUCAGAGAUGAUGAGGCCCUUCGGGGCGCUGGUGGAGGUGC
rnacentral:rRNA from 1 species